rnacentral:rRNA from 1 species
UUGCUAUCGGGGUCCGAUUUAGCCAUGCUAGUCGUGCGGGUUCAGACCCGCGGCGUAUAGCUCAGUAACACGUGGCCAAACUACCCACCAGACGAGAACAACCUCGGGAAACUGAGGCUAACACUCGAUACGCGUUGACCGUUUGAACACGUCGACGCCCAAACGCUCCGGCGCUGGUGGAUGUGGCUGCGGCCGAUUAGGUAGACGGUGGGGUAACGGCCCACCGUGCCAAUAAUCGGUACGGGUUGUGAGAGCAAGAGCCCGGAGACGGUAUCUGAGACAAGAUACCGGGCCCUACGGGGCGCAGCAGGCGCGAAACCUUUACACUGCACGCCAGUGCGAUAAGGGGACCCCGAGUGAAAGGGCAUAUCGCCCUUUCUUUUCUGAACCGUAGGGAGGUUCAGGAACAAGAGCUGGGCAAGACCGGUGCCAGCCGCCGCGGUAAUACCGGCAGCUCGAGUGAUGACCGAUAUUAUUGGGCCUAAAGCGUCCGUAGCUGGCCGCGCAAGUCUGUCGGGAAAUCCACCCGCUCAACGGGUGGGCGUCCGGCGGAAACUGUGCGGCUUGGGACAGGAAGGCUCGAGGGGUACGUUCGGGGUAGGAGUGAAAUCCCGUAAUCCUGAACGGACCACCGAUGGCGAAAGCACCUCGAGAGGACUGAUCCGACAGUGAGGGACGAAAGCUGGGGUCUCGAACCGGAUUAGAUACCCGGGUAGUCCCAGCCGUAAACGAUGUUCGCUAGG